AGAGUUUGAUCCUGGCUCAGGAUGAACGCUAGCGGCAGGCUUAAUACAUGCAAGUCGAGGGGCAGCACAAAUAGCAAUAUUUGGUGGCGACCGGCGCACGGGUGCGUAACACGUAUACAACCUACCUUAAACAGGGGGAUAGCCUUUCGAAAGAGAGAUUAAUACCCCGUAAUAAAUUGAAUGGCAUCAUUUGAUUAUUAAAACUCCGGUGGUUAUAGAUGGGCAUGCGUCUGAUUAGUUAGUUGGCGGGGUAACGGCCCACCAAGACGAUGAUCAGUAGGGGAACUGAGAGGUUGAUCCCCCACACUGGCACUGAGAUACGGGCCAGACUCCUACGGGAGGCAGCAGUAGGGAAUAUUGGUCAAUGGGUGCAAGCCUGAACCAGCCAUGCCGCGUGCAGGAAGAAGGCCUUCUGGGUUGUAACUGCUUUUGCCAGGGGAUAAAAUGACCGUGCGCGGUUAAUUGAAGGUACCUGGUGAAUAAGCCACGGCUAACUACGU
rnacentral:rRNA from 1 species